GACGAACGCUGGCGGCGUGCUUAACACAUGCAAGUCGAACGGAAAGGCCCUGCUUUUGUGGGGUGCUCGAGUGGCGAACGGGUGAGUAACACGUGAGUAACCUGCCCUUGACUUUGGGAUAACUUCAGGAAACUGGGGCUAAUACCGGAUAGGAGCUCCUGCUGCAUGGUGGGGGUUGGAAAGUUUCGGCGGUUGGGGAUGGACUCGCGGCUUAUCAGCUUGUUGGUGGGGUAGUGGCUUACCAAGGCUUUGACGGGUAGCCGGCCUGAGAGGGUGACCGGCCAAAUUGGGACUGAGAUACGGACCAGAAUCCUACGGGAGGCAGCAGUGGGGAAUAUUGCACAAUGGGCGGAAGCCUGAUGCAGCAACGCCGCGUGCGGGAUGACGGCCUUCGGGUUGUAAACCGCUUUCGCCUGUGACGAAGAGUGAGUGACGGUAAUGGGUAAAGAAGCACCGGCUAACUACGUG
rnacentral:rRNA from 1 species